rnacentral:rRNA from 1 species
AUUGAACGCUGGCGGCAGGCCUAACACAUGCAAGUCGAGCGGCAGCGGAAAGUAGCUUGCUACUUUGCCGGCGAGCGGCGGACGGGUGAGUAAUGUCUGGGAAACUGCCUGAUGGAGGGGGAUAACUACUGGAAACGGUAGCUAAUACCGCAUGACCUCGAAAGAGCAAAGUGGGGGAUCUUCGGACCUCACGCCAUCGGAUGUGCCCAGAUGGGAUUAGCUAGUAGGUGAGGUAAUGGCUCACCUAGGCGACGAUCCCUAGCUGGUCUGAGAGGAUGACCAGCCACACUGUAACUGAGACACGGUCCAGACUCCUACGGGAGGCAGCAGUGGGGAAUAUUGCACAAUGGGCGCAAGCCUGAUGCAGCCAUGCCGCGUGUGUGAAGAAGGCCUUAGGGUUGUAAAGCACUUUCAGCGAGGAGGAAGGCAUCAUACUUAAUACGUGUGGUGAUUGACGUUACUCGCAGAAGAAGCACCGGCUAACUCCGUGCCAGCAGCCGCGGUAAUACGGAGGGUGCAAGCGUUAAUCGGAAUUACUGGGCGUAAAGCGCACGCAGGCGGUUUGUUAAGUCAGAUGUGAAAUCCCCGCGCUUAACGUGGGAACUGCAUUUGAAACUGGCAAGCUAGAGUCUUGUAGAGGGGGGUAGAAUUCCAGGUGUAGCGGUGAAAUGCGUAGAGAUCUGGAGGAAUACCGGUGGCGAAGGCGGCCCCCUGGACAAAGACUGACGCUCAGGUGCGAAAGCGUGGGGAGCAAACAGG